CAAUAGCGUAUAUUAAAGUUGUUGCGGUUAAAAAGCUCGUAGUUGGAUUUCUGCUGAGAACGACCGGUCCGCCCUUUGGGUGUGUAUCUGGCUCUUUCUUGGCAUCUUCUUGGUGAACGUUGCUGCACUUGACUGUGUGGAGCGCUACCCAGGACUUUUACUUUGAGGAAAUUAGAGUGUUUCAAGCAGGCAGACGCCUUGAAUACAUUAGCAUGGAAUAAUAAGAUAGGACCUCGGUUCUAUUUUGUUGGUUUCUAGAGCUGAGGUAAUGAUUAAUAGGGAUAGUUGGGGGCAUUCGUAUUUAACUGUCAGAGGUGAAAUUCUUGGAUUUGUUAAAGACGGACUACUGCGAACGCAUUUGCCAAGGAUGUUUUCAUUGA
rnacentral:rRNA from 1 species